rnacentral:lncRNA from 1 species
UGAGGGUUACCUGAGAAUCAAAAAAUCAGAGAGUGAGCUUACGAGCUCAGUGUAUAACUCAAUACACACAAUAAAUCAGAUACACAUGCUUAAAUAGAUUACGGAACUGAUAUAGACAUCAAUGCAUAGCAGAUACAGAUUCAAAUGCAUAAUAGAUAUAGAUUCAAAUCCUACCCCUAUCCACUACACACCAUCUCCGACCAUUCCUAAACACUAAUUAGGAUAUUAAAUACCUAUCCAGCCCCACACACCGCUAAGUGAUCAUAUGUCACUUUAUAGAAUAUAUGCAGACUAACCCCCUGAUCAAAAUGUCAUAACCCACCUGAAACAGAUAUAUGUGGCUGAGCCACCAAAUACGGUAGAUAAAUUAAACUGCUCACACUUCCUCCAUAAUUAUAAUCCCACCCCAAUACAUAUGUAGAACUAAACAAAUAUCAUAUAUGUGUAUUACAUACAUGCUUUACACAUCAGAUUCAGAUAAUAUUAACAUAUAACAGAUCAUGCUAUCACAUAUAACAUACUACUCAUGUGUUCAUAAAUCAUAUUUAACACUAACAGAGCAUCAAAAAUCAUGAUUUAUAGACCAAUUUGUACCAUACGGACCCUAUGGAAGGGCUAUAUUCGAUUCAUACAAUGAUUACAACCUUAGGGAUAAAUUUCAAAUUUUGGGCUCACACGCCUGUGUGGCCCACACGGCCCAAUUGACCUAGACCAUGUGGCAUCGAUAGUCCAAUUUUUCAGCUUUCAGUUGUUUACUAUUUUUCGAGUUUUCGUUACACAUCUGGAAGUUUUCCGAUGUAAGUUCCAAAAACGAGUAUAACAGCACCUAAAAACAUAAUACACUUAACGAAUUAGCCAACAAUAAUGAAUCGAUUUGAGAGGAUAAACUCCUCGAUUUUCCUAAAAUAUCAAUCCAACCCACAAAACCAUUAACCCAAACAGCCACAACAGUUCCAAAUUGGCAUAAAUCCCUUACCCUUGGACGUACAAAACACCUUCACAAGCCUUAAUCCUCCAGUGGAUUAAUCGUUCCGUGACCUUCACCUAGAUAUCCCAAAAAAUUAAUAACAGAAAACGCAAUACUUAAACCCCAACUUAGCAAAAAAAAAAAAACAAAUAAUGAAAGGAAAAUUUUCAGUAAUAGAAUAAACAAAUAUCGACAGUACUUACUCAAGAAUCGAGUUACAAACAAUUCAAUCAACACCCACCACCGAAAUUGAGUACCACAAGAACAACAAGUCAAGAACACAAAGAAAAUUUUGGGAAACAAAAUCAAGAAAGGAAGAAAGAAAAUUCGAAGACCUUCCUUUCCUAGAAUCCACGUGAAAAGGAAAGAGAAACAAAGUGAACAGAAUAGGGAGAAAAGAAGGAAUGUGCGAAGUGGGGAAAGUUUUUGAGAAAUCUUUUUUUUUUUAAAUUUCAAAAUAAAAUAAAAAUAAUAAAAUAAAAUCCAACUCAAAACCCAAAUAUAAGCUGACUCCUUACCACUAAGCUAGCUGGAUCAUUCUUAGCGCAAAUUUUGUAAAAAUAAAAUUUAAGCCUAAUAAACAGAGAUAGGAAUAGAAACAAAAAUAGCAAAAAUUUCAAAAAGCGAGAUUUGAACAUAUGACUUCAAACAUAUAUCUAAAGCACUUAAUCAUUAAAGCGAAUCACUUGACAAAAUUUAACAAACCAAAGCUCAAUUUUUUGUGGCGUUUCAACGCGCUUGAACUCACGUCCUCCU